UCGAUAAGGCAUUUCAUUUUAUAAAUUUAUGUAAACUACAAAUUUGUCCGUUCAAAAGCGUGCGAGUCACUGUAAAAUAUAAUAAGCAUAAUCAUUUUUGCCACUUAAAAUAUGGAAAAAAAGAUCUCAUCGACAUCCCAGCCCCGGAUUUUAAAAAAGAAGCACUUCAGGGUUAAGCAUCAAAAGGUUAAAUUAUUUAGAGCCAAUGAACCAAUUUUAAGUGUGUUCAUGUGGGGAAUAAAUCACACUAUUAAUGAAUUAAGUCACGUAAAUAUACCUGUAAUGCUUUUGCCGGACGAUUUUCGUGCUUAUUCUAAAAUUAAGGUGGAUAAUCAUCUAUUUAAUAAAGAAAACAUGCCGUCACAUUUCAAAGUCAAGGAAUAUUGCCCCCUUGUGUUUCGAAAUUUACGUGAAAGAUUUGGUGUUGAUGAUGUCGACUAUCGCGAGUCCUUAACUCGAUCCCAACCUAUUCAAAUUGAUUCGUCUGGAAAAUCAGGAGCGCAAUUUUAUCAGAGUUAUGAUAAAUUUUUUAUAAUAAAAAGUUUGACAUCGGAAGAAAUUGAACGAAUGCACGCAUUUUUAAAGCAAUACCAUCCGUACGUUGUGGAAAGACACGGAAAAACGCUUUUACCGCAAUACUUGGGAAUGUAUCGUAUCACUGUAGAAAGUGUGCAAUAUUACUUCGUUGUCAUGAGGAAUGUUUUCAGCUCCCACUUGACAAUACACAAAAAGUUUGAUUUAAAAGGUAGCACCGUUGAUCGGGAAGCAUCAGAAAAGGAACUUGAAAAAAAUUUGCCGACUUUAAAGGACAAUGAUUUUAUAAAACAAAAAGUUAAAUUAGACAUUGGAAAGGAAGCUAAGGACAAACUAAUGGACACGCUGAGCAACGAUGUGGAUCUUCUAACAAAGUUGCACAUUAUGGAUUACUCUUUGUUGGUCGGCGUGCAUGACUGUGUUCGUGCAGAGGAGGAAGCUUUGCAGGGAGAUAAUAUACUAACUGUUGGUCGCAGUGAGAACAGCGAAAGCGAGGAAUGCGAUAGCGGGGAACGCUGGACGUAUAACACUCCUCCUGAUUCUCCAAGAGGUGCACAGUAUAAAGAAGUCGUUUAUGAAGUUGACAUAUAUGACAUUCCAAGUAUUGAAGUUUUUGAGAGUGAUGCUUACGUGUUUUCGACGUAAAAAAGGAAAUACUGAAAAAAAUAAUUUAAACAAAAUUUACAUUGAAGCUUUUAUCCAAAAUAUUUGGACAAACAAUAUAUGGUGUUUUUCCAUUUUAUGCAUGAAUAAAUAAGUACCGGGGAGUACCGAUUUCUGAAUAGGAUGCUCUAACUUCCUCUUUUGAUUCGGCACUUAAUCUCGUAGCUUCAACAAAACUUGGGAAUACCUCUUUUACUGCCAAACAUCAUACAAAUUCUGUUGCAUCAAUCGUCAACCAUCAUGACUAUUUCGAUUGAUUUUAUGUGUUUCGUGCAUUGCGCACUUACAAAGAUAACAAUAUCCUUAAGCAACAUAUGUGGUAAAGUUACAUAAAGUUUUAUUUAAAUAAUUUAUUAAAUAAUAAAUAGCCCAAUAACAUACAUUUUUGUAAAAUUAAAAUUAAGUAUUUGCCAAUUAAAAACUUGCGAGAGUUCAUCCGCCAUUCAGACAACAGCCUAAAAUUCAAUUUUUCGAUGUUGUAGAGCACAUAGAAAUUACUUUGUCUAAAUUAAACCUUGGGCUCUGCAUCUCUGAUAAAUAGAUAAUAAUGUUGAGAAUUGUAUGUUGCAUUUAUAUUUGUACUUACACAAAAAGUUUGUGUAUCGAGUAAUAGUCCCUCCUCAAAAGUGUUUCAGAGAUGGUUGGUUCCAUAACAAUUUUAAGUCAUCGCUUUAUUAUUUCUUCUUGUUUUCAUUUGAUCAAUUAAGAUUAAACAGAAAACUUAUAUUUUACUCUCUAGAAGUCCGUUUUUAAAAUAACUACUUGUUCUUUUACAUACAAUGCAGGUAAACCAUUUUUUUAUAGAACCCUAUUAAUAAAUUUAAAUUGCAAACCUUUCAGUUGUUAACUAAUGAGAUUUUUAUGACCGGUUUCUUAGUGCACAUUUUUCUUUUUGGCCCAAUCACUAUUACAGUUUUGCCACUACUCGGAUGACCGGUAUUAAAAUUAGAGAAUUAACAUAUAUUUUGAACUGUAUUGCAGAAAAACGCGAAAUUUACUUUAUUGCUAUUAUUGACGUUCUUACACAAUAUGGAGUUAAAAAACAGGCAGCCAAAGCAGCAAAAACCGUUAAAUAUGGUAGUAAUGUUGACGGUAUAUCAACCUGUGACCCUGAACAAUAUGCCAAACGAUUCUUGGACUUUAUGGAUAAAGCUAUAGAAUAAAGUAUUAUACUCAUUAUGUAUUUGCCACAUUCAAAAUGUCAAAAAUGUAUUUAUCUAAGACAUAAAAUAUAAGAUAUUAUUUUGAAGCUUCCA